AACGGAGAGAUUCACCGCCAUUCGGCGGCGUACGGGCGUACGGCCCGAUGCGCCUCGGUGCGGUCUAGGCCGUAUCGUCGGCGCACGGGUGGCGUCCGUCGACGUCCGUCGACGGCGUGCACUUCUCUCUCAGUAAUGCAUCGCGACACGUUCGCGGUCGGUCUAAGCGCCGUCCGGGAGUCCGACGGCGGACGCUCCGGCGUCCUCCGUCGUACCGCGACCGGUUGCCGGCCGGCCGUUGUGCGGACGUUAACAAAGGAUGGAUAUAGAAUACGCUCUCGUAGCGAAUCGCGCACGCGCACCUAACGCGCGCGUCCGGCCCGACGCAAGCUGACGUACGUCGCCGACCGUCCUGCCCGAGUGCGGACGUCGGCGCGACGCUGUUGUCUGUUGUGUUGUGCAGUCUCGGACCGUGCGCGUAUCUGUCUGCGAUGAUUCAGUUUCGGGCACUCGCAGGACCCGUCUUGAAACACGGACCAAGGAGUCUAGCAUGUGUGCGAGUCAUCGAGUUUGAUUGACAAUGGACAAAACUGAAAGGCGCAACGAAAGUGAAGGCGCGCGCUUGACGCGCACGCUCAGGGAGGAUGGAGCCUCGGUGUACACUAUCGAGCUCUCGCACUCCCGAGGCGUCUCGUUUCCAAUCAGUGAAUGCAGGCGCGCUCUGAGCACAGGUGCUGGGACCCGAAAGAUGGUGAACUAUGCCUGGUCAGGUCGAAGUCAGGGGAAACCCUGAUGGAGGACCGUAGCGAUUCUGACGUGCAAAUCGAUCGUCGGAACUGGGUAUAGGGGCGAAAGACUAAUCGAACCAUCUAGUA
rnacentral:rRNA from 1 species